rnacentral:rRNA from 1 species
GUGUCAGCAGCCGCGGUAAUACGUAGGUGGCAAGCGUUGUCCGGAUUUAUUGGGUUUAAAGGGUGCGUAGGCGGCUUCAUAAGUCAGUGGUGAAAGCCGAUCGCUUAACGAUCGGACUACCAUUGAUACUGCUAGGCUUGAGUAUAGAUGAGGUAGGCGGAAUUGACGGUGUAGCGGUGAAAUGCAUAGAUAUUGUCAAGAACACCAAUUGCGAAGGCAGCUUACUAAGUUAUAACUGACGCUGAGGCACGAAAGUGCGGGGAUCAAACAGGAUUAGAAACCCUUGUAGUCC